rnacentral:rRNA from 1 species
UACAGAGGUGGCAAGCGUUGUUCGGAAUUACUGGGCGUAAAGGGCGCGUAGGCGGUCUUGUCAGUCCCUUGUGAAAUCCCCCGGCUCAACUGGGGAACUGCAAGGGAAACAGCAGGGCUUGAGUUCGGGAGAGGGAAGCGGAAUUCCGGGUGUAGCGGUGAAAUGCGCAGAUAUCAGGAGGAACACCAAUAGUCGAAGGCAGCUCGCUGGAACGUAACUGACGCUGAGACGCGAAAGCGUGGGGAGCGAACGGG